AUUGAACGCUGGCGGCAUGCCUUACACAUGCAAGUCGAACGGCAGCACGGGAGCAAUCCUGGUGGCGAGUGGCGAACGGGUGAGUAAUGCAUCGGAACGUGCCCAGUCGUGGGGGAUAACUGCUCGAAAGCGCAGCUAAUACCGCCUACGACCUGAGGGUGAAAGCGGGGGAACGGACGGCCUCGAGCGAUUGGAGCGGUCGGUGUCAGAUUAGGUGGUUGGUGGGGUAAAGGCAUACCAAGCCUGCGAUCUGCAGGUGGUCUGAGAGGACGCACAGCAAGACUGGGACUGAGACACGGCCCAGACUCGUACUGGAGGCAGCAGUGGGGAAUUUUGGACAAUGGGCGCAAGCCUGAUCCAGCAAUGCCGCGUGCAGGAAGAAGGCCUUCGGGUUGUAAACUGCUUAUGUCAGGGAAGAAAUCCUCUGGGCUAAUACCUCGGGGGGAUGACGGUACCUGAAGAAUAAGCACCGGCUAACUACGUGCCAGCCGCCGCCGUAACAC
rnacentral:rRNA from 1 species